CGACCCGGGUUGCAAAGGAUCCGCCGCCGAGGCCGAGGCGUCCUCACCCUCACCUCAUCGCUUCUCUCGUAAAAUGAAGGCUCCCACGGCGACCGCAGAAAUUGGAGAGCACCGCCAUGGCUUUAUCUUCACCGAUAGCACCCGGAUUUCUCGCUGCCGUUCCUCGCAGAAGCAGCGGGUGGAGGGCGUCAAUUGAGACACCCCAGGAGUCCUCUUCGGUGGGCAAGUCUCUUAGAUUUCCUCCUCGACUCGGACCUCUCUUCUGGCCAUGGGAAAAGGUUAAAGUCGGUCCAUUAUCUGUCUCUCCAAUGGGAUUUGGAACAUGGGCUUGGGGAAACCAGCUGCUCUGGGGUUAUCAGGAACAAAUGGAUGGUGUUUUGCAGGAGACAUUUAAUUUGGCACUGAGGAAUGGAAUAACUCUUUUUGAUACUGCUGACUCUUAUGGGACUGGAAGAUUAAAUGGGAAAAGUGAAAAGCUUCUUGGAAAAUUCAUUCGUGAGUUCCAAGGAUCAAGUAACAUUCAAGAUAACAUUGUCAUCGCUACAAAGUUUGCAGCAUAUCCUUGGCGCCUGACUUCUGGACAAUUUGUGAGAGCCUGCAAGUCUUCAUUAGAUCGACUGCAACUUGAGCAAAUUGGAAUAGGACAGUUGCACUGGUCAACUGCAAACUAUGCUCCUUUGCAGGAGUUGGCGCUCUGGGAUGGGCUAGUUGCAAUGUAUGAGAAGGGUUUAGUUCGUGCUGUUGGUGUCAGCAAUUAUGGACCAAAGCAACUCAUUAAAAUUCAUAAUUACCUGAAUUCUCGAGGUGUUCCACUAUGCUCAGCUCAGGUUCAAUUUUCUUUGCUAAGCAUGGGCAAUGAUCAACUGGAGUUGAAAGCAGUAUGUGAUUCUCUAGGUAUCCGUUUGAUUGCAUAUAGUCCACUUGGAUUGGGAAUGCUUACUGGAAAAUAUACUGCAUCUAAUCUUCCACGUGGACCACGGGGUUUUCUAUUUCGUCAGAUUCUUCCUGGUCUGGAUCUAUUGCUUAGUUCACUGAAAGAGAUUGCACAAAAGAGGCGGAAAACUAUGUCACAGGCACUGAAGAGUUUUCUGUGAACAUGGUACGAGAGUAUCUGAGAGAAUGCUGUGGCAGUCAGUGGAAAACUGAGAGCAGAACAAAAACAAGACGCCAGUUAAGAUGAUCUUCAAUGUAGCUCAUGGAUGACCAGAGUGAGAACAAGUUUUCAGGUUGCAAUAAACUGGUGCAUUUGCAAGGGCACCAUUCCAAUUCCUGGUGUGAAGACAGUCAAGCAAGCUGAAGAGAAUUUGGGUUCCCUUGGAUGGCGCCUCAACUCUGAUGAGAUUUUUGAACUCGAGUCUGCAGCAAAGAAUUCUCCUAAGAAAAUGAUCCAAAACAUCUUUCAGACCAGAUGAAUGUACUCUAUAAUGUGAGAUUCAUCUCCUUCUCAAAGUUUAUCAAUGGUUCCGUGUAUCGUUCCAUUUAUCAAUAGUCAAAGUUUCAUGAUAUUUUGCCUUGGCUUAUUAACAUGGUGCUAAGCCAUAACAAUGCAGCAUUAGAAGGAGAGAACUGGCAACAUGUCGGUUGAGGUAUACAAGCUAAUUGAUGGGAUAGCAAGAAUCAAACUCUUAUUCUAAUUAUGUGGUUCACCUGUUCGGUCUAUAUAUGAACAUCUCACUUUUUUAUGCUGUUCAAGGGGAUGAGACAUUAUGUUGGAACUUUUGGUGUCAUAAUCUUUCUUUAAUGAUAGCAACUGUAAAGUUGCCCCUAAAAUA